rnacentral:rRNA from 1 species
ACGGCUGAGUAACGCGUGGGUGACGUACCUGUUGGUGGGAAAUAACUGCCCGAAAGGGUGGCUAAUUCCGCAUAAGUCCUUCGGUUCAAUCUGAAGGGGAAAGCUUCGCAAGAGGCGCCGAUGGAGCGGCCCGCGUCCGAUUAGCUUGUUGGUGGGGUAACGGCCUACCAAGGCGACGAUCGGUAGCUGGUCUUAGAGGAUGAUCAGCCAGACUGGGACUGAGACACGGCCCAG